rnacentral:rRNA from 1 species
GACGGAGGGUGCUAGCGUUGUUCGGAAUGACUGGGCGUAAAGCGCACGUAGGCGGAUUGCUAAGUCAGGGGUGAAAUCCUGGAGCUCAACUCCAGAACUGCCCUUGAUACUGGCGGUCUCGAGUCCGGGAGAGGUGAGUGGAACUGCGAGUGUAGAGGUGAAAUUCGUAGAUAUUCGCAAGAACACCAGUGGCGAAGGCGGCUCACUGGCCCGGUACUGACGCUGAGGUGCGAAAGCGUGGGGAGCAAACAGG